rnacentral:sRNA from 1 species
GUGUCUGAAGCCUGACGAGGAUGAGAACCUCCGGGGGUAAGAGGUUCGACUUGAGCGAAGCGAGAGAACGUUGCGUCAGCAACGGCCCGCAGUGGCAAGUCAUCCUCUGUCACCGGCAG